AAAUUUUUCUCAUUCUAAAAAAGUCAUGUAAAAAAAAAAAAAAGGAAAAAUGAAAGAGAGCGGUGCCAAACGUCAGCAGCUGCCUCACCUUAACGCUAUGGGCUGUUGAAAUUCAAUGAAUCGUUGUUGCCAAUCUUAGACCGCUCUUCUCCACCGCAAUCUAUCCACCCAAAUGGCGUCUCCAUCUGAUCACAAAGCCACCAUCAUCGACGGCAAAGCCAUCGCUCAGACAAUCAGAUCUGAAAUUGCCGCCGAGGUGCGCCAGCUCUCCCAGAAAUACGGCAAGGUGCCAGGGCUAGCUGUGUUAAUUGUUGGGAAUAGGAAAGAUUCUCAAAGCUAUGUGGGAAUGAAGAGAAAAGCCUGUGCUGAAGUUGGGAUUAAGUCUUUUGAUGUGGACCUCCCUGAGGACGUACCGGAAUCCGAGUUGAUCAGCAAAGUUCACGAGUUAAAUUCAAAUCCUGAUGUACAUGGUAUAUUGGUUCAGCUCCCCUUACCAAAGCACAUAAAUGAAGAGAAAGUUCUGAGUGAAAUCAGUCUUGAGAAAGAUGUAGAUGGUUUUCAUCCUUUGAAUAUUGGCAAACUUGCAAUGAAAGGCCGAGAACCCCUUUUCCAUCCUUGUACUCCCAAGGGUUGCCUUGAACUGCUAUCGAGAAGUGGUAUAAGCAUAAGGGGAAAACAGGCUGUUGUUGUGGGUCGAAGUAACAUAGUUGGAUUGCCUGUUUCUUUGCUGCUGCUUAAGGCAGAUGCUACUGUUAGCAUUGUUCAUUCACGUACUCCAGAUCCUGAAAGGCUAGUUCGUGAAGCUGACAUUAUUAUCGCUGCAGCAGGACAAGCUAUGAUGAUCAAAGGCAGUUGGAUCAAACCUGGGGCUGCAGUUAUUGAUGUUGGAACAAAUGCUGUUGAUGACCCAACUAAGAAGGCAGGAUACAGGUUAGUGGGAGAUGUGGAUUUCCAGGAAGCAUGUAAGGUUGCUGGAUGGAUAACUCCUGUUCCUGGUGGUGUUGGCCCAAUGACGGUUGCAAUGCUGCUCAGGAAUACCAUAGACGGUGCGAAGCGUGUGAUUGAGCAGUGAGAGGUCUCUCAUUUCAUCAUUGUUUACUUAAUAAUAAAAGUUGCUUACCACUCAGUUGGAUCUCUAACUUCAAAUGGAACAAAAAAUACUUUUUUUUCAAGUACUUUACAGAGCUGCUUUAAGACUUUGGGAUUUAUCUGUUGCUUUUUUAAACAUGUUUACGAUUUCUUUCUGUAAAUUCUAACCAUUUCAUUUGACUAGUUCAUUCGCUCCACCAAAAUAACAUCCCUCUCAACUUUCUGCUUGAAGUAGUUUCUUUCUAUAAAGUUGUUGAAAUCUAGUAGCCUGUAGCCUAUGCCUGGAAAGAAUGAGUAAAAAGGAAGGAAAGGAAAUAGAGGCAGGGCAUCAUCGGACUCCACCCUACCAGUCUACACUAUUGGACUAUUCCCUAAUGACAAUUGAGAAUCCUUGUUCUGUCUGAUAAGAGAAAGAGAAUGGCUAAAAUGCUUGAUUGAGCACAUGGUCUACCUAGGCUAAAUGGUAGUUUCAAAUAUUGACCAUAAUUUCUAGGAUGCUUUCUUUCAUAACUGGAAUGAAAUAUUGCUAGCGAGUUUUGCACUGUGCAUUCCCUGUUUCACCUGUUUCACAUAGGAG